GCCAGCCAGACAUCGAUUGGUUCACUUAUCCUUCACUCCGCGAGACAGGCGAGACUGCAGGGCUCUGGAGCGCGUUUUUGAAUUUGUAGCGCGUAUAGAGUCCGUGAGGUACCUUGUGGAGUUCGUGCUGUGGCUGGAGCCAGCUACUCAGGGUGAACUCUGAAGUCCUGAGCUAUGGCAGAACUCAAGCCCCUCAAGUCACAUAGAAAUCUACCCAUCAAACACUGGAUUGCCAUGUGCCAGGUAAAAAGAUCAGAGCUACAAAAUAAUUGACUAAUUACUUCAAAAGUGACAACAUCCCUCUUCAAAAUGAAAGGACAAAAACAAACACAUACAAAAAGCGCCUGCCCCUGGCUCAGCGCCCGGUGCCAACAGAACACCUUUCAGGAUUCACAGCAGCGCAGACAACUCCAGGAUCCCGGCCUCUGAUUGGAACAGAACAGUGUCAUGGCGGAGACGACGGCCUUUGUCUUGCUGGAUGUGAAAACAUCCGCUGUGCUGGCUCCACUGCGGCAGAAUCAAGUUUAAAGGAAAAAAAGUGAUUAAAGUCAGCUUUGUGCCUCUUUGGUGUGGAAGACCCACAGACCUCAAGUAGCCGACUCCCAGGUCCGAGGAAGGGCUCAUAGUUGGAGCAGCCUAGGCUGUAAUCCUGGCACUGGCGCCUUCGGUUGCUGCUUGCUGUUCGCUCCUGGGGGUCUGGAUAAUCUCCCUUGGCUUUACCGCACUGUCUGGCCCGCAUACAGGGCCCCGUAACAUAUACCCGCUCCUGCUAUCACACGAAACUGUGGCGUUGCCCCUGAAUGGAUGGCACCGUGCCAACUCUUCUGCCAUCCGCCCUUGCAGCUUUUUUCUUUCCUCCCUCCCUCCCCUUCUUCUCCUCCUCCCGUCGACUUGACGUUAAUUAACACACGGGUUAAUUGAUUUUAAAAGCCGAAGAAUUACAGUUAACUUUUCCCACAGGGUACAGACGCCAGCCGCUUGGCACACUCUGCCUUUCGCACUAGUUAGUGCAGGGGGGCAGGGAAAGCCCACAGCAAAACUAGCAACUGCUGAAGGAACGUUGCUUGCUUAUUGGAGUAGAGCCGACAGAAGUCGACGUGGCACUGCCUCAUCCUUUGCAAUAUAUGUAGCCAUUAUAUAUUUUGCUAAAUAAUCAAAACAGAACCCUAGCUUUCUUCUCCCUUCCUCUUUCAAAAUGGGAAAACCUUUCUGAAGUUCACUUAGAGGGGGGGAAAAACCCUCCCCAGGACCAUUUAUCUCAUCUAUAAUAUGCUUUUUUUCCCCAGCAUCAUGAAAAUAACCAGUGCCUUUUAAUUUUUUAAUCUUUAUAUAUUUAUUUUUUAGUUUGAAAAAAGGAAGUCUCUCCCUUCCUUUAAUAUUACUGGCAUAGGAGAUUAUUAUUUUAAAGAAAAAGUUCCAUGAAGUUUUUUUCUAUACCUGAGUGUUUUGUUUGGUUUCCAUUCCUCUUGACCUAAAUGGGUUAUUUAUUGUAAAAGAUUACAGUGAGAAAGUAGGUAAAUUUUAAUUAAGAACAAAAUCCAUACCAAAGCUCUUUGUUUUUUUGUUUGUAUGUGAGUAUAUUUUUACUGUCUGCUUCCCCCCAAUGAAAUGAAAGCAAUUGAUACUGUAGUUGGAAAGCAGAGGCAAAGCUGAGAACUUGAUGCUUUCACCUUUUCAUGCUUUCAUUUAUUUCAUUUUGUUUUUUAAAAGCAUGCAGCAAGUGAAGCGACAAGAGGAAUCCAUUAUGCAAAUCAUGUCACUUUGCAUAAUGUCUCGUGACUGGAAUAUGCAAAUUAGCUGUAUAAUUUAUGAGUGCCAGUGUCUGUCUAAAAGUGUUUCACAUAAUUUACAAAGUAAGCCUGAGAGACAUUGGGAAGGCAGCUCUUCCAACUCCAUUGCUAGGAAUGCUCUGUGUAUUUUCCUACAAGUGCCCACUCAUAAUACCUAAUAUCAUCAAGUGCAGUUUAAGAAAUUAAGGUUCCACAUGUUCGUGAAAGACAAAGAUUUUCCUCUAACUCUAUUUGUCCAUUGAUUUUUUGCCUAAAACUUUGCCAGAAACUUAGAUCCUCAUACCUUAAUUUUCAGAUUUAACUUCAAAAAACAAAAAACUUAUUAAAGCCAAACAUGCUAUUUGU
ensembl:lncRNA